CCUACGGGAGGCAGCAGUGGGGAAUAUUGGACAAUGGGCGAAAGCCUGAUCCAGCAAUGCCGCGUGUGUGAAGAAGGCCUGCGGGUUGUAAAGCACUUUCAGUGGGGAAGAAAAGUGCAGCGCUAACAUCGCUGCAUCUUGACGUUACUCACAGAAGAAGCACCGGCUAACUCCGUGCCAGCAGCCGCGGUAAU
rnacentral:rRNA from 1 species